AUGAAAGAACUGGCUCACUUCAGGACUGAUCUCAGACAGUAUGGAUUAAAACACGCAAAACUCCUAGCACAUAACUCUUUCUCUUGCUGUCUCCACUCUUUUCUCUCUCUUCCUCUCUCUCUUUUCUCUUUCAUUCUCUAUCUGUUUCUGCUCUCUCUUCCUCUGUCUCCUCUCUCUCUUUCUCUCGUUCUCUCUCUUGCUGUUUCUGCACUUUCUCUUUUUCUCUCUUGUUGUCUCUGUUUCAGCUCUUUUCUUUCUCCCUCUGUCUCCUCUCUUUCUGUUUCUGCUUUUUCUUUCUAUCCCUCUCCCUCUAUCCCUUCUCUGUCGCUCUCAUUCUCUCUGCUGUCUCCCUCUUGCUGUUUCUGCUCUCUCUCUCUGUCUCCACUCUCAUUCUCUCGCUCUCUCUCUCUCUCUCUCUCUCUCUCUCCCUAUCACUGUUUCUGCUCUCUCUCUCUCUCUCCCUAUCACUGUUUCUGCUCUCUCUCUCUCUCUCCCUAUCACUGUUUCUGUUCUCUCUCUCUCUCUGUCUCUCCCUAUCACUGUUUCUGCUCUCUCUCUCUCUCUCUCUCUCUCUCUCUCUCUCUCUCUCUCUCUCUCGCUCCCUAUCACUGUUUCUGCUCUCUCUCUCUCCCUAUCACUGUUUCUGCUCUCUCUCUCUCUCUCGCUCUCUGUCUCUCCCUAUCACUGUUUCUGCUCUCUCUCUCUCUCUCUCUCUCUCUCUCUCUCUCUCUCUCUCUCUCUCGCUCCCUAUCACUGUUUCUGCUCUCUCUCUCUCCCUAUCACUGUUUCUGCUCUCUCUCUCUCUCUCUCUCUCGCUCUCUGUCUCUCCCUAUCACUGUUUCUGCUCUCUCUCUCUCUCUCUCUCUCUCUCUCUCUCUCUGUCUCCAUUCUCAUUCUCUCGCUCUCUCGCUCUCUCUCUGUGUCUCUGUCUCUCUCUCUCUCUCUCUCUCUCUCCACUCUCAUUCUCUCGCUCUCUCGCUCUCUCUCUCUGUCUCUCUCUCUCUCUCUCUCUCUCUCUCUCUCUCUCUCUCUCUCUCACAUACAUUACAGAGUCCUACUGAAGGUUACGGUGUAGUAACAGGUACAUGCAAUACCACCGUUCUGCUUCACCUUCUUUUAUCAAACCAUACAAUACUCUCUUUAUCUCUCAUUCUCUUCUCAUCUCUCUCUUUGCUCCAAAGAGAGACUGAUGAGUCAGACUGA
rnacentral:lncRNA from 1 species